GAUGAACGCUGGCGGCGUGCCUAAUACAUGCAAGUCGAGCGAACAGAUAAGGAGCUUGCUCCUUUGACGUUAGCGGCGGACGGGUGAGUAACACGUGGGUAACCUACCUAUAAGACUGGAAUAACUCCGGGAAACCGGGGCUAAUGCCGGAUAACAUUUAGAACCGCAUGGUUCUAAAGUGAAAGAUGGUUUUGCUAUCACUUAUAGAUGGACCCGCGCCGUAUUAGCUAGUUGGUAAGGUAACGGCUUACCAAGGCAACGAUACGUAGCCGACCUGAGAGGGUGAUCGGCCACACUGGAACUGAGACACGGUCCAGACUCCUACGGGAGGCAGCAGUAGGGAAUCUUCCGCAAUGGGCGAAAGCCUGACGGAGCAACGCCGCGUGAGUGAUGAAGGUCUUCGGAUCGUAAAACUCUGUCAUUAGGGAAGAACAAAUGUGUAAGUAACUGUGCACGUCUUGACGGUACCUAAUCAGAAAGCCACGGCUAACUACGUG
rnacentral:rRNA from 1 species